GAAGCCGGUAUCUCCUAGGAGUUCGACCCGGCCCUUCGCGCCUUCCGCCUUCACUGCGUGGGUUCACAGCCUCACCCGAGCCAGCCUAACGCCAGCAGACCCCGCCUGGGAUCCUGGCAGUGAUGGAUGAGGACCUGAUUCUGGCACUGCGGCUUCAGGAGGAAUGGAACUUGCAGGACGCAGAGCGCGAUCCAGCCCAGGAGCCCCUGUCGCUGGUGGACGCGUCCUGGGAGUUGGUGGACCCCACCCCGGAUCUGCAGGGCCUGUUUGUGCAGUUUAACGACCGGUUCUUCUGGGGCCAGCUGGAGGCCGUUGAAGUGAAGUGGAGCAUGCGAAUGACCAUGUGUGCUGGGAUAUGCAGCUAUGAAGGGAAAGGUGGAAUGUGUUCCAUCCGUCUCAGUGAACCCCUUUUAAAGUUGAGACCAAGAAAGGAUCUUGUAGAGACCCUCUUGCAUGAAAUGAUACAUGCCUAUUUAUUUGUCACUAAUAAUGAUAAAGACCGGGAAGGGCAUGGUCCAGAGUUUUGUAAACAUAUGCAUCGCAUCAACCGCCUGACUGGAGCCAAUAUUACGGUAUACCAUACUUUUCAUGACGAGGUGGAGGAGUAUCGGCGACAUUGGUGGCGCUGCAAUGGGCAGUGUCAGUACAAACAACCGUAUUAUGGCUACAUCAAACGUGCUAUUAACAGGGCACCCUCUGCUAAUGACUGCUGGUGGGCUGAGCACCAGAAAACCUGUGGAGGCACUUACAUAAAAAUCAAGGAACCAGAGAACUACUCAAAAAAAGGCAAAGGAAAGACAAAACCAGGAAAGCCCCCAGUGUCAGCAGUAGAGAAUAAAGAUAAACCCAAUAGAGGUGAGGCACAGCUGUUAAUCCCUUUUAGUGGGAAAGGAUACAUUCUAGCAGAAACAAAUAAUUUACCGUCAUCUGCGAAAUUGAUCAGCUCACAGGCCAUUGAUAAAGCCCAAGAUCUUUUAAGUCAAGACCAUUCAGCAAACACUCUAAGACCUAAUGUUAAAACUGAGGUGAAAUUUGAAAAGAAUGGUUCAAGUAAAAAAACCUCUCAUCUACUCUCCCCUGUUCUUAAUACCAGUCACCAAAAUGUUGUAAGCAACUAUUUGCCUAGAGUAUCAGCUGCCAACCAAAAGGCUUUCAGAAGUGUGAAUGGAUCUUCUCCAACGACAAGCUUAACAGUCGCUGACAUCACUAAAAAUUUAGUUUCUUCUAGUUCUCAAAGAAGGGUCACAUCUUCUAAGAUAUCCCUAAGAAAUUCUUUAAAAGCAAUGGAAUCAACAUCUGUGAAUGUAACCCAGGAGGUGAGUGGGUCUGAAGAUAAAUUCCCAAAUAAACGACCCAGGCUAGAAGACAAGACUGUUUUUGACAAUUUUUUUAUCAAGAAAGAACAAAUACAAAGUGAUGGUAAUGAUCCAAAGUGUACUUCACGUCCUAUAACCACAACUCAGAAUUCCAGUAGUUCAUGCAAUCAGAGCAAAAUGGUUAACUGCCCGGUUUGUCAGAAUGAAGUUUUGGAAUCUCAAAUUAAUGAGCACCUGGACUUGUGCCUUGAAAGUGAUAGCAUCAAAGUCAAAAGCUGAAAAUAUCUUUGCAAAAUGAAUGGUCUCACACCCUACCUGUAUUACCUCACUAAUGUGCUAUGUCAGCCAUUCAGGAAGUUUUGGGUUAAUGCUAACAUUUGUAUGUUAUAAUCUAGUUCAUACAACCAAUACAAAAUGUUUUAUUUUAUAUAUACAUAUAUAAGAUUGUAAUUAACAAUAUUUUAUGUCUCAAGGUGUUACAUACAUUCACUCUUGCCUUACCUAUACUGCAGGCCAGAGUUUAUUCUGCCUGCAUAUAUGCAUAAUUUUAGGUACUUUUGUUCUUUCUUUUUAAGAUUUUUAAAUCUGUUAAUCUUUUUAUUUGUAUGCUUUCCUAAAAAUAUUCAUGAGGAAUCCUGUCAAGUAUUUAGUUAAAUUGAGUAUUUAUUUAUUUAUUAAUAAUAUUAAAACUCAUUCCCUGAACUGAAUCUUCACAGUGUUAGACAUACACACUAGAGUACAAAGUAUAUGAGCUGUUUUAGGGUACUCUUUUUGUUUUUCUGGUGUUUUUUUUUUAUUUUUUUUGUAAAAUCUUAAUAGACAAUACAUUUUCUAUAUUUUAAAGAAUUUUACUUCUCUGUUCUACCUUUACUAAACAGUGACAGCAGAUUUUAGGUUAGAUAAAGAAUAUAGUAAAAAUAAGUAUAUUUCUUUUGGAAUAUUACUAGCAAAAAAUAGCCAGUAUAAUUCCGUAGGCCAGAUUUUAUAUUGAGUUUAGCUGUUUACUCAAAAUUUAGCAAAACGAGUGGUUAAAACUCAGUGCUAACUGGUAUCUUUAACAUAACAAAGUUGCCUAGUUAUAUAACAAUGGAAAAUUAUCUAGAAACAGUAUUAUGAACCUUAAGCCAAAGU